rnacentral:rRNA from 1 species
GAGUGAUCGAAAGAUGAAAAGCACUUUGAAAAGAGAGUUAAACAGCACGUGAAAUUGUUGAAAGGGAAGCGUUUGCGACCAGACUCGCCCGCGGGGUUCAGCCGGCACUCGUGCCGGUGUACUUCCCCGUGGGCGGGCCAGCGUCGGUUUGGGCGGCCGGUCAAAGGCCCUCGGAAUGUAUCACCUCUCGGGGUGUCUUAUAGCCGAGGGUGCAAUGCGGCCUGCCCGGACCGAGGAACGCGCUUCGGCUCGGAC